rnacentral:rRNA from 1 species
UGCAAGUCGAGGGGCAGCGCGGGAUAGCAAUAUUCUGGCGGCGACCGGCGGAAGGGUGCGUAACGCGUGAGCGACAUGCCCGUUGCCCGGGGACAACCGGUGGAAACGCCGACUAAUCCCCGAUGGGAUAUUGUGCCGCAUGGCACGAUAUUGAAAGUUACGGCGGCGACGGAUUGGCUCGCGUCCGAUUAGCUUGUUGGCGGGGUAACGGCCCACCAAGGCUACGAUCGGUAGGGGUUCUGAGAGGAAGGCCCCCCACAAUGGGACUGAGACACGGCCCAUACUCCUACGGGAGGCAGCAGUGAGGAAUAUUGGUCAAUGGGCGGAAGCCUGAACCAGCCAUGCCGCGUGCGGGAAGGAGGCCCUAUGGGCUGUGAACCGCUUUUGCCUGGGGGCAAUAAGGGCGUCGCGCACGCCCGAUGAGAGUACCAGGCGAAUAAGCAUCGGCUAACUCCGUGCCAGCAGCCGCGGUAAUACGGGGGAUGCGAGCGUUAUCCGGAUUCAUUGGGUUUAAAGGGUGCGUAGGCUGUGCGUCAAGUCGGGGGUGAAAUUCCGGUGCUCAACACCGGGGCUGCCCUUGAUACUGUCGCGCUGGAGUGCGGAUGCCGCCGGAGGAAUGAGUGGUGUAGCGGUGAAAUGCUUAGAUAUCACUCAGAACACCGAUUGCGAAGGCAUCUGGCGAAUCCGUAACUGACGCUGAGGCACGAAAGCGUGGGGAUAGAACAGGAUUAGAUACCCUGGUAUUCCACGCCGUAAACGAUGAUGGCUAACCGCCGGCGACACACUGUCGGUGGC